UACGAGGGGUGCAAGCGUUUGCUCGGAAUUAUUGGGCGUAAAGGGUAGGUAGGUGGUCUCAUUUGUCAGGGGUGAAAUCCUUGGGCUUAACUCAAGAAGUGCCCCUGAAACGGUGAGACUCGAGUCCUGGAGAGGGUCGUGGAAUUCCCGGUGUAGCGGUGAAAUGCGUAGAGAUCGGGAGGAACACCAGAGGCGAAGGCGGCGACCUGGACAGGUACUGACACUCAACUACGAAAGCGUGGGGAGCAAACAGG
rnacentral:rRNA from 1 species